AUACAGAGAGAAACUAACAGGGAAGAAACCAGCUAAAGAAAUUUGUGAGGAGGAAACUAUGGAGAGACUGACAAAAGAAGGAACAAAUGCAGAAGAACCGAAGAAAGUACCAG